rnacentral:rRNA from 1 species
GCGAACGCUGGCGGCAGGCUUAACACAUGCAAGUCGAGCGGGCAUAGCAAUAUGUCAGCGGCAGACGGGUGAGUAACGCGUGGGAACGUACCUUUUGGUUCGGAACAACUGAGGGAAACUUCAGCUAAUACCGGAUAAGCCCUUACGGGGAAAGAUUUAUCGCCGAAAGAUCGGCCCGCGUCUGAUUAGCUAGUUGGUGAGGUAAUGGCUCACCAAGGCGACGAUCAGUAGCUGGUCUGAGAGGAUGAUCAGCCACAUUGGGACUGAGACACGGCCCAAACUCCUACGGGAGGCAGCAGUGGGGAAUAUUGGACAAUGGGCGCAAGCCUGAUCCAGCCAUGCCGCGUGAGUGAUGAAGGCCCUAGGGUUGUAAAGCUCUUUUGUGCGGGAAGAUAAUGACGGUACCGCAAGAAUAAGCCCCGGCUAACUUCGUG